rnacentral:rRNA from 1 species
GACUUAAGCAUAUCAAUAAGCGGAGGAAAAGAAACUAACAAGGAUUCCCCUAGUAACUGCGAGUGAAGCGGGAAAAGCUCAAAUUUAAAAUCUGGCGGUCCCUGGCCGUCCGAGUUGUAAUCUAGAGAAGUGAUGCCCGCGCUGGACCGUGUACAAGUCUCCUGGAAUGGAGCGUCAUAGAGGGUGAGAAUCCCGUCUCUGACACGGACUACCAGGGCUUUGUGGUACGCUCUCAAAGAGUCGAGUUGUUUGGGAAUGCAGCUCUAAAUGGGUGGUAAAUUCCAUCUAAAGCUAAAUAUUGGCGAGAGACCGAUAGCGAACAAGUACCGUGAGGGAAAGAUGAAAAGAACUUUGGAAAGAGAGUUAAACAGUACGUGAAAUUGCUGAAAGGGAAACGCUUGAAGUCAGUCGCGUUGACCAGGACUCAGCCUCGCUCUUGCGUGGUGUACUUUCUGGUUGACGGGUCAGCAUCAAUUUUGACUGCUGGAAAAAGGCUUAGGGAAUGUGGCAGCUUCGGCUGUGUUAUAGCCCUUGGUCACAUACAGCGGUUGGGAUUGAGGAACUCAGCACGCCGCAAGGCCGGGUUUCGACCACGUUCGUGCUUAGGAUGCUGGCAUAAUGGCUUUAAGCGACCCGUCUUGAAACACGGACCAAGGAGUCUAACAUGCCUGCGAGUGUUUGGGUGGUAAACCCGAGCGCGUAAUGAAAGUGAAAGUUGAGAUCCCUGUCGUGGGGAGCAUCGACGCCCGGACCUGAACUUUUGUGACGGAUCCGCGGUAGAGCAUGUAUGUUGGGACCCGAAAGAUGGUGAACUAUGCCUGAAUAGGGUGAAGCCAGAGGAAACUCUGGUGGAGGCUCGUAGCGAUUCUGACGUGCAAAUCGAUCGUCAAAUUUGGGUAUAGGGGCGAAAGACUAAUCGAACCAUCUAGUAGCUGGGUUCUGCCGAGUCUUC